CAGGUACAUACGGCACACUUAAUGUAGCCGAAUGGCGGGACGAACGGAUGCCAUGUUGUGCCAGAUGGGACAGCACUGGUCUUCAGGCUGGAUUGUGUGAGGACAUGAGAGCGCAGGACAGAUCACAGGAUCACAGAUCACCGUCUUCUUCUGCAGAAAUUCGAACAGAUCAUACGCAAAAUUAAUCUCAGUCACAGAAAUGAUUCAUAAAUCAAAGCUACAGCAGUGUGUGUGUUACCUGGCAGAUGCAGGUAAAGCAGGUGUUGUACUGCGGUGUCCACUGAGACCCAUGUGCAUGAUGUUCUCCCUCAAAGAAGCACGUGUGCGGGUCUUUCCUCAGCUCGGCCGGGUCACGGACAAAUACCAGUUCAUCAAACUCAGCUUCCUCGACCACCUCACCGCGGGAACCCAACUCACAGCUGUUGGGAACGUGAAUCUGGAAAACAAAGAUAUCCAUUAAAUACAAAGGUUUAACAUA